rnacentral:rRNA from 1 species
GAUGAACGCUGGCGGCGUGCCUAAUACAUGCAAGUCGAGCGAACAGACGAGGAGCUUGCUCCUCUGACGUUAGCGGCGGACGGGUGAGUAACACGUGGAUAACCUCCCUAUAAGACUGGGAUAACUUCGGGAAACCGGAGCUAAUACCGGAUAAUAUAUUGAACCGCAUGGUUCAAUAGUGGAAGACGGUUUUGCUGUCACUUAUAGAUGGAUCCGCGCCGCAUUAGCUAGUUGGUAAGGUAACGGCUUACCAAGGCAACGAUGCGUAGCCGACCUGAGAGGGUGAUCGGCCACACUGGAAGUGAGACACGGUCCAGACUCCUACGGGAGGCAGCAGUAGGGAAUCUGCCGCAAUGGGCGAAAGCCUGACGGAGCAACGCCGCGUGAGUGAUGAAGGUCUUCGGAUCGUAAAACUCUGUUAUUAGGGAAGAACAAAUGUGUAAGUAACUAUGCACUUCUUGACGGUACCUAAUCAGAAAGCCACGGCUAACUACGUG